AGCUCCAAUAGCGUAUAUUAAUGUUGUUGCAGUUAAAAAGUUCGUAGUUGGAUUUCAGGCUGGGGCGACCGGUCCGAGCUCACAAGCUCGUGCACUCGUGUCGCGCCGGCCUUCCUUAUGGAGAACGCGUUUCCGGGUUCAUUCUCGGGGCGCGGGAUUCAUAUCAUUUACUGCGAGAAAAUUGAAGGGCUCCAACCAGGCACUUCUGCUUUGAACAAUUUAGCAUGGAAUAAUAAGAUAGGACCUUGGUACUAUUUUGUUGGUUUGCAUACCUUGGUAAUGAUUAAUAGGAACAGCCGGGGGCAUUCGUAUUCAAUUGUCAGAGGUGAAAUUCAAGGAUUUUUUGAAGACGAACUACAGCGCAAGCAUUUGCCCAGAAUGUCUCCAUUAAUCAAGAACG
rnacentral:rRNA from 1 species